rnacentral:piRNA from 1 species
GAGUUUCGUUUGUGUGGCAGAGGGUUCC